AGUGGCCUGUGGUGCUCUGCACUGUGAACUCACUGUCGCCGUAUCUGUGGUCAUACAUUCCGGAGAGACAGUAGCUGAGGUCUCUCCCGAUCUUCUGAUCCAAGUUCAACAAAAGCCUCACCACUCUGCCUGCCCUCUCUAGUGUAGAUGAAAUGGACACCUGCGGCCCCAUCAUGAAUCGUGCAGUCAGAGAGGAAGUUCUGCACGUCCUCAACAGAGCAGGACCAGGGCAGGCCACGGAGCUUGACCACAAAGCCUUCACCUCCCUCAGGGCCCAGCAUCAUGGACACUUGUCAGGGU
rnacentral:lncRNA from 1 species